UAAUAAUAUAAGGAACCAAAUUGGAUAUCAGCUUCCUAAAAAAGCACGAAACUUUAAGUCAUAAUUUAAGCCUGUUU
rnacentral:sRNA from 1 species